ACCAGGGGCUAUACCACUCUGCAACUCACUGAAGCUCAGCAGGUGUGAGCCUGGUCAGUACCUGGAUGGGAGACCUCCUGGGAAAGCUAAGGUUGCUGCUGGAA
rnacentral:rRNA from 1 species